AUUGAACGCUGGCGGCAUGCUUUACACAUGCAAGUCGAACGGCAGCACGGACUUCGGUCUGGUGGCGAGUGGCGAACGGGUGAGUAAUACAUCGGAACGUACCCAGUAAUGGGGGAUAACUAUCCGAAAGGAUAGCUAAUACCGCAUACGCCCUACGGGGGACAGAGGGGGAUCGCAAGACCUCUUGUUAUUGGAGCGGCCGAUGGCUGAGUAGCUAGUUGGGGAGGUAAAGGCUCACCAAGGCGACGAUCAGUAGCGGGUCUUAGAGGACGAUCCGCCACACUGGAACUGAGACACGGUCCAGACUCCUACGGGAGGCAGCAGUGGGGAAUCCUGGACAAUGGGCGCAAGCCUGAUCCAGCAAUGCCGCGUGCGUGAAGAAGGCCUUCGGGUUGUAAAGCGCUUUUGUCAGGGAGCAAAUCCUUGUGGCUAAUACCCACCGGGGAUGAGAGUACCUGAAGAACAAGGACCGGCUAACUACGUGCCAGCCGCCGCAGUAA
rnacentral:rRNA from 1 species